CCGCCGGUGUGAAGCGAGCGCUGAUCGGUGCUGACGGCACUGACGCCAUGAUGCGCGGCCAUGUUGAAGUCGUCGAGGAACGGCAGCUGUUUCGUGUCGUAGUGAUCACCUGUUUUCUCGGGAAAACGACGCAUUUACGAAAUUUGGUGAUAAUUCAUCCACGUUACAUGGCAAGGCGUUGACCGGCGUUGAACGAGUACGAGCCUCUGAGGAAGGAGCUGCACCAGAUAGAGACGAGAAGCGGUCGACGAGGAAGAGCGGUCGUCGAAUCGAAGUAAUCGUCAGGCACCCGACAAGAUGCCUGCCCCAACGUCAGCACCGGCUCCGGCCCCCGCCGAGGGUGGCCCACCUCGCACGGAGUUGCAGGAAUUACAACUGAAGGCCGAUCAAACUACAGAUGAGUCCCUGGAAAGUACGAGGCGUAUGCUGGCCCUCUGCGAAGAGAGCCACGAGGUCGGGAUGAAAUCCCUCGUAAUGCUGGACGAGCAAGGCGAGCAACUGGACAGAAUCGAGGAGGGUAUGGACCAGAUCAACGCCGACAUGCGGGAAGCCGAGAAGAAUCUCACCGGAAUGGAAAAGUGCUGCGGUCUCUGCGUUCUUCCAUGCAACAAAGGCGCGAGCUUCAAGGAGGACGAGGGCACGUGGAAGGGCAACGACGACGGUAAGGUGGUCAACAACCAGCCCCAACGGGUGAUGGACGACCGCAACGGGCUCGGGCCACAGGGCGGCUACAUCGCGAAGAUCACGAACGACGCCCGCGAGGGCGAGAUGGAGGAGAACAUGGGUCAGGUGAACACGAUGAUCGGUAAUCUGAGAAACAUGGCCAUCGACAUGGGCAGUGAGCUGGAGAACCAGAACCGGCAGAUCGACAGGAUCAAUCGUAAGGGCGAGUCAAACGAAACGAGGAUAGCCGUGGCGAAUCAGCGUGCGCACGCCCUGCUCAAGUAAAAUGCGUCUCUCUGCCCACGUACCCGUCUCCUCAGAGCCCCCAGUAGUAGAAAAAAAAACCAAAAAAAAAAAAACCAAAAAAGAUCGUACAUGUAUGCACGGACACGUGUAUACGUGUGUCAGCUCCAAAAAAAAAAAUAUGUAUGUUGUACGCUCACACGCCCACGAACCCUUCUUCUGCCUUCUCGUCGUCGGUCGGACACCGCCAACCCGUCGACCCGACUCGUUGCCUCCAACUCGAUCCACCUGUUCGUGCUACAACGAAAAAUAUCAUCGAACCUUCCGGUUUACAUCGACUUAUACAUUACGUGUGUCUCCGCGUACUUGGCGCAGCCUCCCUCUUUUAUAUUGUAUUAACGCCGUUUAGUUGGUGUAAACCACCCCCUGUGACACCGCGUUCCGUCAUCAUGUUCUUGCCAGUUUGUCGUGUCCAGCUCGUUUCGAUGCUCACACAGGGCGAAUCGAACGAGACGAGGAUAAAGGUGGCCAACGAGCGAGCCCAUCAGCUACUCAAGUAAGGCCACUCUCGACCACCUGCACCCCGUCGGCCACCAACGGCACCAAAAUACGACCAUCGACACUGUAUCACGACCACCACUAUACCGACAACAACAAAAACAGUAACAAUUGAAACAGUGACUCCGAUAUCUACAAUAAAAUCCAAUACCACUUAUAGAUACUGCGACUCGUGCUCGCGGGUCCCCAUCUCAUUUAUUACGAUUCAUUCGAUCAUCGAAGAUCAGAGUUGACAGGUCCGGGUGAAAGAGGGAGGGACGCGAUUUCUUUUUCAUCCCCAACUUCUUCGCUCGUCCGUUUUGUUGCAUUUCAGUUCGCGAGUGUUUGUCAAUAAUCUCUGACAAUUGCAAUUUACCGAUCGUGAUCGAUCGUGAUCGAUCGAUCUUCGAGCUUCACGUUUUCCGAGAAAUAAAUACCAUUCGUAACUUCAAUUUUGAACAUGUCGCUUGCGCGUAAUACUUUUAUUAAUACACUUUCAAGUUUCGUUCCUCUUCUCUGAUCCACGAUCGGUUUCUAGAAAACGUGUACUUACGAAUCCCCAUCUUUAACCCUUUAGAGAGGGCAAAUUUUCGUCUGUAGAGUAUCUGAGACCAGCGGAUAGACGAGAGUAAAUAAAUAAUUAGUUUAUUAACGAGUAAAAAUAUCUAAGCGUAAACGAAGACGGUCAUUAGAAUAGUGACAGUCGAGUCAAUUCAGCGAAGCUCGAACAGACCGCCUGAGAAGAGCCGGUGAGAGGAGAGGCAGAGAGCGAGAGGAAAUCACGAUUUCUCUCCUCGAUCGCACGUUUACCCAAGUUCUUCCUCCCCUCGUGAUGUAACGUUUACACUUUUGACGAUUUAUCUAAAACAAGUUUCUAAAGUACGUAAGAAGAGCAUUAAAAUUAGGACAAGGACUAGACCUUGUCGAGUAUCGCCUGUCUAAGGGUUAAAGAUUAUUCAUCGUGCGGAAGACGAUAUAUAUAUAUAUAUAUCAGACUGCAGAUUUUUCCAAAUCCAAAUUCAAACGUUUCUCACGAUCGACGAACAUGAAAUCUAUAUCCUUCAAUUAUGUCUUUACGACUACGCACCGCAAGUGUCCAUUGUUUAAGAAGAGAAGAAACCGUUUCCGCGUGAAAAUCCGCAGUCUGCGUACCCUGUUGUCGUAUAAAAAGUGACACAACUGUUUCUGUCAGAUUUACCGUCGAGGAGAGUGACACUCGUCAGAGGUAUCGUUUUCUUAACUUCCUUUACUCGUUUCGAGUUGUGCCACUUUUCAAGGCAACGUUACAACGACACACGAGGAAACGAACAUCGUAGGGGCGCACACGUUCACACACACACACACAUACGCUAUAGUCCUCUACCCAACUAUUUUGCAAUAAAUACACACGCAGAUACACACAUAUAUAUACGUACAAAUAAUAGACACGAGUCAGAGAUAAAUGUACACGUGCGGAACGCAGACGGUACAGAGAUCAAAAAGAGAGUUUAGAGAGCGUAGAUCGCACAGCGUGUGGAAAUGGCACGCGUGAACGAUGCAUACGCACAGCGAGCCCCCGUAGGUAGAUACGUAUACGUACCACGUAAUUUGUUAUCACGAUUCUAGAGUUUUACGACCAACAGUAACGAGAGCAAAAAAAAGAGAGAGAGAGAGAGAGAGAGAAUAUAUUCCGUGUACAGUAGAUCGAUACUUUGGGCAGAACCCGCGAGGCGUGUAUGCGCGCGUUCCGAUGCGAAAUAGGGAAUCACGCGAUUGGGAUGCGUGCCCUUCGAUUCGGAGGGAUCCGGACGUCUCUUAGAUCUCGAAAAAUUCUAUGCCUUUGUUCGUAGUGGGUUCAGAACGAACCGUCGGUUCUCACGGUCGUGUACGUAAUCGUAAACGAUGACGAGAUUUCCGGAUACCGGCGAACGACGGUGCACGCGUUCUCAUGAUACGGGAUUGCGAGCGUAAAUAUCGUACGGAUCGAGGGAGCCUGAGAAACGAAGUAAAACGAGGAUUAGAUUCGACCCGACGAGAACCGUCGAGUUUAUCCGCUUAUCAUUUUUCUCGACGCGUACCACGUCGAACGAGGCAGCCGACAGAUAAAGUUCGGUCGUCGACGAGGAACCGCGGAACCGGAAGGGAACGCGACGAAGAAGAGGAACAGGAAGGAGGAGUAGAAAACCGCGCGCAGAGAGGGUGGAGAGCGAGGAAAGGGUCGAACAGAGAAGGUGGAAGGGAGACAAAGCGGAAGAGGAUCUGAUGAACCACGAACCACCGACGAAGAACAGGCGGACGACGUCAUGAAGAAGGAGAGGAGAGGGGUAUUGGAAGGGAACGGAACGAAGGUGUUUAAAUGUGUAGAUAGAAUUUUGUUCAUCGUUUUAUCUCUCGACUCACCGUAGAGCGUAGAUCGAUUCCGUUUCUAGCAGCCUCGCGCACGCUCGACACGUCGCGCCGGGGUUGUCACUGUAAGGUUCAACUCCAAGAGAAAGAGAAAAAAUUGAUGAAACGAAACCACGAGUCAGAUAGGCAGAGGAGCAAGACGAAGAUGACGAUAGGAAGAAGAUUGUACAUUAUUGUAUUUACACGAAGCGAAGUACCUCUACUAAACUUGUGUCGUACCAGCGAGCGAACGAGAGAGAGAAAGAGAGCGAGAGAAAGAGAGAACGAACGAGUAUAUUUAUCGUGGGAUUCCCACCCGCCCCGCCGUUUCGGUUUCCGUUUUCACGAUCCGCCGGUAUCCGCGUCGCUCUUUUCAUCCGAUCUGGAUCCUCGCGAUCCGCGCGCGCGGCUCGCGCUUUUAUUUCAUGCGUUUUUCCAUCGAUCGCGCCCGACCUUUCGUAAUUCCCAGCGAAAACCGCAAAGUGUAACUGUGAUCAAUAAUUUAUUAAUCCCUUGACGCUUGCCUCGUACGUAUAUGCGCCCCACGCAGUUGGAGCAUUAGCGACAGAGUCGAUUCACUACUUAUAUAGACGACGUUAAUUCGGUUUUCCGUCAUCUCCUCGAUUACCCACGUGAACCGUCUAUUUUUCCGGGUCAUCGAGGGAUCGAUUAAAAGAAAGAGAACGGAGGAAAGACGUGGCUACCGCGCGGAUUCUACUCGAAGAUAAGGAACGUUUCUCGAAGCAGCUGUCAGCCUUAACAGUAUUCACGUCACUUUACACUUACCUCUUUAGCUUUAAGAGAACGCAUACCGAGACAGAGUACGAGAGAGAAAGAGACACGUUGCCCCCCGCCCCACGUUUCCAAGCCCGAGUAGUAUCGAAAUUAUAAUGAUAUCUAUACAUAGCGAAGAGAGAAAGGAAGAGAGAAUGAACGCUGACGGAGUAUGAACAGAGAUUUUGAGACGCAAAUGUUCUUUUUGUAGAUCUCGUAUCGGUGAAGCGAGGACGAUACGUGUCUAUAAGUCUUAUUAAGAGAGACGACGAGUGAACGAUGAUUUUCGAUUAUUACACGUGUAAUUACGUAUCGUACGUGUAAACUUUUUUCUUGAAUUUACCACAUUAUUAACUGCAUAUAAAGUAUACAUAUAUACAUAUAUAAAUAUACGUACGCAAUGCAUUAUAUCGAUAUUGUAUAAAAUAUCGUAAAGGGUAACCGCCUUUGGAGUCGUGCGCCGCGUUCAAGAGUCGAGCACAAACAGAACAGAGAAAGGAAGUAUAUUACGCGUAGCUCCUUUCGAUUUCGCUUGUUGUACGCUUGCUUUGGUUUUCAUCAGACGAAUUAAGAAUGGUAGAAAUAUGUGAGAGAGAGAGAGGGAUGGCUCAUCAAAAUCCUUGGACGCUUCGCCGGACGAACGUGCUAAGAAGAAUGAAAGUGAGAGAGAGAGAGAAUAUUUAAUGAGCGAGGGAACAAAUGAAAAUGAAUGAGAGUGACAGAAAUAAAUAACGAUGAUUGUGAUUGUUGACUCGAGAUCGUUGGGCCUAUCGUAAUAAUUUACUUUGAAAGCAGGAGAAGAGAUAUACAAACGAUUAUAAAUAGAUAUAAAUACUAUGUAAUUGCAUAUACGUGCGUCGGAACGAGAGCGCGGUGAGCCCCUCUUCUUAGAAUAUUAGUAGUCCUUUAGAAAUAGGAAACGAAAAUAAGAGAGAGAGAAAGAGAGAGUGUAUGAGAGAGAGAUGGGUGCGAGAACAGGCAACCUUGUUUGCGAGCGGAUAAUACAUCGUUAUAUAAAAUAUUAAUGUAUACAUAUAUUAUAUGAUAACGGGAUCCAGCAAUAUUAUAUUGUUAUUUCGUCGUUACUAUUUAUCACCGCCUAUUCGAGGAAUUAUAUUACGUAUCUAUUUUACAAAGUUAAAACCGUUGUCCCUCGUUUCUCAACGAGUGACUGACUCAUAUCGAACCUGUCGAUGGGUCUUACGCGGCGAUAUCCGUCGAUUUAAAUACCUAUUGUCACAGACAAAUGUAUAGAGGAAAAAAACAGAACAUGAAUACAUGCAGAUUAUAAAUAGAUAGACGCGUAGAUAGAUCGAAUAGGAGAAAUUGAAAGAAGAACGUGACCGCGGAUAGGAAGUGGAAUGGUCCACGGUGUGAAUGGGACAUCGAGCGAACGACGAGGAGAAAUUAAAGUAGUGAUGAAUUUCGAUCAUAGAGGAUCGAGAGAAAGAAGAGCCGGAAACUGUUGAAAAUCGUUUGUCCACGUUUAUUCAUAGUUUACGGGUGCGUGAAACGUUUAAUGUCUAGCGAAAUGUUGGAAUUAUUACGACUUGCGAAUCGAAAGAUUCUUCCUAAAGACACGAAUUGAAGUCGCACGUAGAACUUCCGACUCUUUUUUUCUCGCGUAACGAGACGAGUGCGAUGCACGCCGAAAACGAGUUCGCAACGAUACCGCAGAACGCAUGACUGCGAUAGAAAGAAGGAAACAAAUGUUUAAAAAAACAAAUUGGGACCACCGUGCAGAAGUGCAAGGUGCUCCGACACGAAGACGGCCGGUACGUCGUGACACUAGUUCCACGUCGUCGUUCUCGACUGCGAACUCGCCCCGGUCGCGUUUCGACUUCUUCGAAGCGCAGAGAAAAUGUGAAAAUGAUACCGAGGAGGAGAGCAGUCGUGAACAUUUGAAAUGAGCAAAACGAAGAAAUAGAGCAGAGUAAAAUUAUUAAAGCUGGUUUGAACACGAGAGAGAGAGAGAGAGAGAGAGAGAGAGAGAGAAAAGUGUUGGGAGCAGUCAGACAAGAUAAAUACGUGAGGAAGAGAAUUGUAAAAAGCAGACAAAGCGAUGAUUAAACGAAAGAUUGAAUCAGCUUCUCUCUUUUUAGUACCAAUAUACAUAUUGUCGCUAGUUGUAUUACAGAGACGUAAGAAGUAUUCUUCGGCAGUACCAUUAUAACAAAUGCCUGUGUAUUUUACUUCUCGGCAAAUAAACCAUCGAGCAUUGUACUGGCAA